GAUCCCUUAUAAAGUUGUGUUGUUUAUAGUAAAAGGCGUUUGAUUAGACAAGUAUCUUUAUUUAACAGACAAAUUUAAUUGGAUAAUAACAUUUAAUAAUAAAGAAAGUAAAACUUUUGCUCUUGGAAGUUAAUAUCUCGGGUAGUAUUAGUUAAGGGUAAUACUUAGCUAGCUUAAUACGCGUAGUCGUGACUGGAAGGUUGAUCGACCACAGUGGGACUGAAUAAAUCCCAUGACGAUUGUCUCAGCAGUGAGGAAUAUUGGUCAAUAGCCUAACGGCUGAACCAGCAACUUGGAGGAAUGUAUAGCGAAAGCUAGUUGCAUUUAACUUAGCAAAAGCUAAGUUGAUGCAGGAUUGACUAUGUCAAAUAAAGUUCUAGGUGGGUUAUGAUGAUGACAUUUCCUAUCUAUGUGUCUUGACCAAAUUACGUGCCAGCAGUCGCGGUAACACGUAAAAGACUAGUGUUAUUCAUCUUUAAUAGGUUUAAAGGGUACCUAGACGGUAAAUCAAGUCCAAAAAGGGUACUAAUUUUACUAGAGUUUAAUAUGAGGGGGCACUAAAGUACUGAUAAGUGUAGAGAUGAAAUUCUGUGAUACAAUAUACGGCACUGGAAAGGCGAAAGCAUCUCAUUAUGUAAUAACUGACGUUGAGGGACGAAGGCUAGGUGUAGCAAAAAGGAUUAGAUACCCAAGUAGUCUUAGCAGAAAAUUAUGAAUGUCAUAGGAUGGAAAGUUGGAUGGACAAACAACAAAUUUUUUUUUCUAUAAAUGAAAGUGUAAGCAUUCCACCUCGAGAGUAAUUUGGCAACAUUGGAACUGAAAUCAUUAGACCGUUUCUGAAACAAGUAGUGAAGUAUGUUGUUUAAUUUGAUGGUCCGCAAAAAACCUUACCACAAUUUGAAUAGAAAAAUUUUUUUUCAUACAAGCGCUGCACGGUUGUCUUCAGUUAAUGUCGUGAGAUCUUGGUUAGUUCCAUUAAAUUAACGUAAACCCUUACUCUAUUUUUAUAUAGAGUAGUUCACCGCUAGAUUGGAUGUGAUAACAGGGA
rnacentral:rRNA from 1 species